UAUAAGGUGGAUUUAUUUUAUGCGUUCAUAUAGCUGAUUAUUAUUGCUUUACAGUUACAAAACAGGAGCGUCUAUAUAGGGUCUUUGACCUCACUCGAGACACUGAAGCUGCUACAUGUAAGGAACUGCUGGAUAAUUAUCAGAGACACGGUGAGAGCAUUACCUGUUGAGAGACUAUUUAUUUAAAAAACAUAAAUAAUGAACCAGAAUCAACUUAGCUCUAAUAGCACAGCCGAUUAGACUUCAAAUAGACUUCUUUGUUUUUAUUUUAAAUUUUAUUCAAAUUCACCGAUUAAGUCAAUCUCACUCAACUCAGUCAGUGGAGAGUGAACACUAUCAGAGUCAAAGGUCACAUCCAUCCACUGCGACUGUGAAAAAAUUCUGCACUGUGCUGAUUUAUACAUUAUUGUUCAUUUUUUGCUGUUUCCUUCUUGCUUUUAAUAAUUCAAAUAUAGAUGUCAUGCUGUUUGUUUUGUUUGUUUUUAGUUGUAUUGCAGCUUGUCUCCAUUUUGACAGAUGGCUUAUUUGGAUGCUAAAUGAAUAUAAUCAAUGAUAAGUAUGUUUAAAUAUAAUUAUAAAUAUAUGCUCAUCAAUUCUAUAAAUGCAUCUUACAUUUAUAGAAUUGAUGAGCAUAUAUUUAUAAUUAUAUCUUAUCCUGAUGUUGAGUUUUGCAUGUUUAUCACUUGAUUCCUUUAAUGAUUUAUUACAAUUAUGUAGAUAAAUAUUUCAGCUCGAGGGAGACAGAAGGUUAAACUUCAACACUCUAUCAUUUAAAAAACAAACAGUGCUUAGGCUGUUUAAUAUAUCAUGUAUAUAUAACUAUAAAUCGCAUCCCAUGUUGUUGAUAAAAGUUAUGAAUAAUGUAUAAUAAAAUGUACAUAUGAUAUGAAAUCUGAAAAAGUGUAGUUGAAUCUAAAGUAAGUAAAUCCCAUCAUGAACAGUCCCUAAUGUGUUUCUGCAUAAGUUUCGCUUUCCGCAUGAUGAGUUUCUGUUCAUCAAAACAGAAACACAUGUAAAACCUGUGGGACAACUAAUGUUUGUUACUUACUAUAGAGUAGUUCCUCUCACUAGUUCAAUUACAUCAGCAAAUAUGCCUUGUUUUCAUGUCAUAUAAAUGAGGCAGUCAGUGCCAAAGAUCUAAGUAAGGUGUAUCAUUACAAGAUAUGGUAGAUCAGUGCACUACAGAUUAAUCCUUCAUCUCACUGCAAUAAUUUUGGAGGAUCAGUUUUUCUCAGUGUUUUCAGAACUGUCAGGAACAUGAUGAGAACUCUGGAUGAAUUAUCUGAUCUGAGAAAGACCAGGUAUGGUUGGCCACCUCCCAGACAUGGUCUGAUCUUGCUGUGGUGGUUUGCUCAUGAAUGUGUUCAGAUUGACUAUGAUCGUAUGAUUGCUUGCUGUGACCCUGCAAAUGGAGCUUUUGGCUUCCACCGAUUCUAUAAUUGGGACAAACUUCUUCCUCGCACUAACCUCCCAUACUAUGAGGUGGGCAACCUGAACACCACUGGCUCACUGCCACUGUACGUCACUCAGUAUUACACAGGAUAUAUAGACAACAGCAACACUGAUCGCAUCAUUGUUUUAUUUAACUCAAGGUGGAACAGAUUUGACAGUGUUUAUGUGACACAGCACUCAGAUCAGGUGAGAUUUGAUCAGAAUCACACUUACCGCAUUAGCAUCAAACUCAUGAAUGACAUUAAAAAUUUGAGCCGUGAGGAUUUCCUCAGAGAACCCAUCCUUCCAAAACGACCCAAUCCUUCUGAACAUUGUUCCAUAGACAUGACUAACAAUGUAAUGCCCAAUGCUCAAGCAAGACCGUCACGCACACCUCAGCCAGUGCAGAGUGAAACUAGAUGUAUGAGUAAGAAAUGCUGCUGUGUGCUGAUUUUUGUCUUGAUUUUACUGUUUCUCAUUGUUGCUGUUAGUGUCUUUUUAUGGUUUAAACUGAAAUAGUUUUCAUCCACUGCUGUUUGUUAUUCUGAAUUUUGUUUCCUUUGGAUUAGUUGCUUAUUUGAAUGAAAGAUUUUAAAUACAUUUACAUGUUUAUUAUUAUGUAGAAUAAAAUACAUUGUUGCAAUGAUGUAAAUAAAUAUUUAAGAUUUAGAAGGACCAAAUGUACAACUGUAAGAAUCAAUGUUAAUAUUGUUGUGAGUAAUAGAAAGACAACGAGAGAAUUUAGUUGAGAAUCAAAUGAAUACAACUUUUUCCAUUCAUUCAGAACAUAUUUGUGAAUAUGUUUUUUAUUAGCGAAUCUCAUUUUAUUUAUUUGUGAAUUUGAUUCUUUUUUUUUUUUGUGAAAUUCCUGACAUAUUUGUGGAUGUCAUUCUAUUUAUUUGUGCAUAUGAUUAUUUUUUGUGAAUCUCUUUAAAUUUAUUUGUGGAUCAUAAUCUAUUUAUCUAGAAUAUUGUAACGAUUCUGUCUCCAUAGUUCAGGGAGGGCUGAAGCCUCACUUCUCCCGUCACUAUGAUAUCAUCAUGUUAUGUCUUCUGUUAUAAUCACAAAUUUUGAUUCAUUUGCUAAUUCCUUUCAUUUCUAUGAAAUACUAUGUGAUUUCUCUGGCUUGGUUUGAAAUAAAAUGACGUUGGA